UUAUAACAAAAAUAAAUAGUCUCAAAAUAUACAAAAUCCCAUAUAAAAGAGAAACUAUCCACAUAAAUAAAUAAUAUAAAUUGCUUUUUUUUUUCUUACAAUGAAGGUAAUUUCAACAGCUGACAACUUAUCAAGGAUCUCAUCGAAAAUGUCAAGCUCAACCCCAUCUCCAUGGCCUGAUGACUCUUUGCUUCCAUAUAUUGAUUUGUCCAACAGCUCUUACUAGAAUGUUUAUUUCCAAACAACAUCUCUCUCUCUCUCUCUCUCUCUCUCUCACACACACACACUACGUAGAGAGAGAAAUAAAAUAACUAGUGUCGUUUGGUAGCUCUCCCAAGAUUAUAUAUAUCUCCUUGAGAGAUGAAGUUUGCCCACUAGGAGGAAAUGGAUCUCUCUACCCUCUCUCUCUCUCUCCUGGGAAGCCAUUGCAAAGGGAAGGCUAACUCUAUGAUUUCUAGAAAGAGAAAGUUGUCCACUAUACACACAUUUCUCUCUCUUCAUGCUGAAAACCUCAUGUAGAGAAAUAUCAUCUCAGUCUUCUCUUCCUAGAGAGAGAAAAUCAGCCACCAUUCUGGCAUAAACGGCCACCGCAUGCGCCCACUUCUUGAUAUCCUCCUUCAAUCUCUCUGCAUCUGAAUUCUCCAAACCUCCCUUCUCGAUCCGUAUCCCCAGCCCGGAGCGGCAUCGUUCGAAUUCCGGCAUAUUCGUGCACGGCAUGAUCACCCUUCUUGCAGACACAACUUCCUCUUCUACGUCCUCCAGGUUUAUGCUUUUGUUGUGCUUUCUCUCUCUUCUUUUUUUAGGGUA
rnacentral:lncRNA from 1 species